rnacentral:lncRNA from 1 species
AUGGCUGCCUAGAAACACCUGCAGUUGGAGGCUCCCACUGAGAAGAAAGAAAACGGCAAGUUAAUCCUAAACCGGCAACUGAGGUUCUCUCGUUGGGACUGACUAGACAGCGCAACAUAUGGACAGCGGAGAAAAAGCAGAGCGAGUUAUGGCCCACCAGGGAGCAGCAUGGGGCAAGGGGAGCUCCCAUCCCCAGUCAAGCAGGAGAGCCAUGGAGAAAGAGAGAUGGAAUCACGGAGAAUGGGAGAUUGGCUUUGCCCUGAAGAGAAAAUGCCCGCAGUGUGACUUGUUUUCCCAUGUUUGCCAGUUCAGCUGAGAGUACAAAAGGAAGCCUACAACACAUCGGACUACCUGGGCUUUCCUCCUAGUGUCAGAGGGGCUUGUAAGAUAGGAUCACCUUUGGGGGAAUCUGGAGCUGUCUAUAGGAACCUCAUGAUGUCUGCUAACUUAAAGUCGUGUUUAAUUGAUUAUGAGGCUUUCAGCUAAGGAGCCUGAGCUCUCUGGAAAGUGUUCUGUCAAUUCCUGCAAAAGCCUUGCAUCAAGCAAACUAUAAAUCCCUAGCGGUAACAUGGAAG